GACAAACGCUAGCGGCGUGUAUUAGGCAUGCAAGUCGCACGGUCACCUUCGGGUGGCAGUGGCGGACGGGUGAGUAACACGUGGGUAACCUGCCUCGCAGUGGGGAAUAACUCGCCGAAAGGCGAGCUAAUACCGCAUACCACUCCCGGUGAGACUCCGGGCAGUAAAAGUAGCAAUGCGCUGUGAGAGGGGCCCGCGGCCGAUUAGCUUGUUGGUGGGGUAAUGGCCUACCAAGGCUUCGACGGGUAGCUGGUCUGAGAGGACGAUCAGCCACACUGGCACUGCGACACGGGCCAGACUCCUACGGGAGGCAGCAGUAAGGAAUAUUGCGCAAUGGGCGAAAGCCUGACGCAGCGACGCCGCGUGGGGAUGAAAGUCUUCGGAUUGUAAACCCCUUUCGGGAGGGAAGAUGGAACGAGCAAUCGUUCGGACGGUACCUCCAGAAGCAGCCACGGCUAACUUCGUGCCA
rnacentral:rRNA from 1 species